GGAGAGAUGGCUCAGUGGUUAAGAGCACUGACUGCUCUUCCAAAGGUCCUGAGUUCAAUUCCCAGCAACCACA
rnacentral:tRNA from 1 species